rnacentral:misc_RNA from 1 species
GAUGAAGAACGUAGCGAAAUGCGAUAAGUAAUGUGAAUUGCAGAAUUCAGUGAAUCAUCGAAUCUUUGAACGCACAUUGCGCCCAUUAGUAUUCUAGUGGGCAUGCCUGUUCGAGCGUCAUUAAGUCCACUUAAGCCCUGCUUAGUGUUGGGAGACUGCUCCAGCGGUGCUACCCUGUAGCUACCCUGCAGCUCCUCAAAGACAGCGGCGGAGUUGUGGUAUCCUCUGAGCUUAGUAACUUGUUCUAGCUUUCGAGUACACCACUUCCCCUGCCGUGAAACCCUUAAUUUUUAAUGGUUGACCUCGGAUCAGGUAGGAAUACCCGCUGAACUUAAGCAUAUCAAUAAGCGGAGGA